GCAGCCAGGUAUUACAAGGGGGCCGAGCGUUNUUGGGAUUACUGGGAGUAAAGCGUACGUAGGCGGCCAGCAAGUUGGAAGUGAAAUCCCAGGGCUCAACCCUGGAAUUCUUUCAAAANUGUUUGGUAGAAUCUCGGAGAGGGAUAGCGGGAUUUCCAGUGUAGAGGUGAAAUUAGUAGAUAUUGGAAGGAACACCAGUGGCGUAGGCGGCUAUCUGGGACGAGUAUUGACGCUAAGGCACGAAAAGUGUGGGGAGCAAACAGGAUUAGAUACCCUGGUAGUCCCACACCGUAAACGAUGUGUGCUAGUUGUCGGGCAGUAUACUGUUCGGUGACGCAGCUAACGCAUUAAGCACACCGCCUGGGGAGUACGGCCGCAAGGUUAAAACUCAAAGGAAUUGACGGGGACCCGCACAAGCGGUGGAGCAUGUGGUUUAAUUUGACGCAACGCGGAGAACCUUACCAGCCCUUGACAUCCUGGUCGCGGGGAGUGGAGACACACCCUUUCAGUUCGGCUGGACCAGUGACAGGUGGUGCACGGCUGUCGUCAGCUCGUGUCGUGAGAUGUUAGGUUAAGUCCUGCAACGAGCGCAACCCCUAUUGUCUGUUGCCAUCAUUAAGUUGGGCACUCUGACAAGACUGCCGGUGAUAAGCCGGAGGAAGGCGGGGAUGACGUCAAGUCAUCAUGCCCCUUAUGGGCUGGGCUACACACGUGCUACAAUGGCGGUGACAAUGGGCAGCGACUUCGCAAGGAGGAGCAAAUCCCUAAAAACCGUCUCAGUUCGGAUUGUACUCUGCAACUCGAGUGCAUGAAGUUGGAAUCGCUAGUAAUCGUGGAUCAGCAUGCCACGGUGAAUACGUUCCCGGGUCUUGUACACACCGCCCGUCAAGUGAUGGGAAUUGGUUUCACCUGAAGCCGGUGCGCUAACCUUUGGGAAGCAGCCGACCAANGGGUGGGGAUCAAGCAGAAAAGGCGAAUCAAGGUCCAGGUUAAAANNNAC
rnacentral:rRNA from 1 species